rnacentral:rRNA from 1 species
CCCCUAGAAGUUCUGGGCCGCACGCGCGCUACACUGAACAGUUCAACAAGUCUUAACCUUGGCCGAUAGGUCUGGGUAAUCUUUGAACGCUGUUCGUGAUUGGGAUAGACCUUUGCAAUUAUGGGUCUUCAACGAGGAAUUCCUAGUAAACGCAAGUCAUCAGCUUGCAUUGAUUACGUCCCUGCCCUUUGUACACACCGCCCGUCGCACCUACCGAUUGAAUGGUCCGGUGAAAUCUCGGGACGGCGGCUUGGUCGCUUGCGUCCGACUGCUGAAACUUGAUUAAACCAUAUCAUUUAGAGGAAGGUGAAGUCGUAACA